UUGGGUAACACUAACUGGAGGACCGAACCGACUAAUGUUGAAAAAUUAGCGGAUGACCUGUGGCUGGGGGUGAAAGGCCAAUCAAACCGGGAGAUAGCUGGUUCUCCCCGAAAGCUAUUUAGGUAGCGCCUCGUGAAUUCAUCUCCGGGGGUAGAGCACUGUUUCGGCUAGGGGGCCAUCCCGGCUUACCAACCCGAUGCAAACUGCGAAUACCGGAGAAUGUUAUCACGGGAGACACACGGCGGGUGCUAACGUCCGUCGUGAAGAGGGAAACAACCCAGACCGCCAGCUAAGGUCCCAAAGUCAUGGUUAAGUGGGAAACGAUGUGGGAAGGCCCAGACAGCCAGGAUGUUGGCUUAGAAGCAGCCAUCAUUUAAAGAAAGCGUAAUAGCUCACUGGUCGAGUCGGCCUGCGCGGAAGAUGUAACGGGGCUAAACCAUG
rnacentral:rRNA from 2 species